CUGCACUCCGAAUUCUAUUCAGUUACAUACACUCAUCAUUUAGGAAUGCUUGGGUGUGUGGAGAUUUCUGCCUCGGUGAAGAAUGGGUUGGGCACCAGGUCUUUUCAGGUACAAUUCAGUAACUCUUCUAGGUAACACCGUCAAGUGCUGCAAGCAACAGGGUGUGCAGUGGGAAUUUGCCAUCUCCUAGAGCAAAGUAUGGUGGUAACCAGGGAGAAGUAAAGAAAAGCUGUAAACAGCAGUCAUCAGAACAGAAGCAGCAGCCAUGACGGGGCAGGCAGGGAAAGGGAGCCUAUUUUCUUGCAUUGUCUCUCCAGGGUGCAAACAGCUGCUGAACUGUCAAAACUCUGAUUUUUCUCAAUGAUGCCUACUCAAAUAGUUGCAUAUUAAAAUCCCGAGCAGUCCCUGUUUCUUAAGUAAAGAGGGAAAAACAAAGCACACAACAGGGGCUUUCAUGUUACCUUACCCUGGUUAGCUGACUGGAACCUGAAAUGGACUGCUCCUCUCUGAUCGAUGAUGGCUUGUUUUCAUCUGCUGAAAAAUUCUGAUCUGCUCCAUUUUUGAAGUGGUUUGGCAAGGAGAUCUUUGGUUCCAACCAACUGAUAGUUGUCCCUGAAGCAAACGAGAGUUUACGCUGAAACUUGCUCAUAUUCUAGAAGGGUAUUUUGUUU